GACAGCUUUUCAGUAGUGCAUUCUCUGUGAUUGGUUGGAUAUCACUGACCCAGACAGAAUGGCUAAGCUAAAAAUAUUUGCCCAUAAUGUAACCCCCCACACACACCCGCAAGCCUUUAGCUGUUGGUGGGAGAAACAGCUGUUUUCAGUUUGAAUUGCUAAUGCCACAAACUCCACUUUGCCAGAAAUGGGGCUUCUUGAUGAAUAGUUCCAGCUUUUGCCAGUUGGGAGUGAACACAUACUUGGCCACCUGCUGGAGCACCAAGGACCAAGAGGAGACCAGAUGAGUUUUCAGACACCCGAGACACAUGUCAUCCUUUGCCUCCUGCUUUCUGCUGCUGCUGCUCACUUUCAUCUUUCUAUUAACCCUCGCCAUGAUAAUUCCCUCCUGACACCACCUUCUCUCCAUUUAUCACCCACUCAGCUCUUUCUCUGAGGUUUCUCUCCCAUGGGGCCUGGCUUUGUCUCUGGCAAGCUCCCUUUGAAUCAUAUCAAGACGGCUACCAUUAUUUCCUUUUCUUCUGUCUCCUCUUCACACCAGACUCAGUUAAACACUCAGUCCCUUGGUCAGGAAAACCCAAGGAAAAAGCUCCCUCUUCCAAAAUGGAGUCAGAACCAUGCUCUACUGGAGCCAUCAUGAUCAGGGAAGAGACCCAGAAUAUAGCCGAGUGUGAUGUCAUUGAAACCAGAUGGAAAGACGAGAAAUCCCUUAAUCCCAGUUAGACCUAGUGAAGGAGCUUUACUCGCGACUGUUGGGACUGAUUAAGAAUAUGGGGGCAGGGAGAAAGGGAGAAAGAUGUUCUGAACUGGAUUGCCCUUCAAUACAGAAUGGAAUCCCCUAGAUAUUUUUCUCCAAUUAAAUGUGCAUUUCAUUCUACCUCAUGUGAUGGCUUCACUGUAGAUGUUUUCCCUGGAGACCCAAGGCUUUUCUUCAUGGGUCACAAGAACACAGGCCACCAGAUGAUGAGGAAUAACCUAGAAUUAUUAUCAAGUACUAUCACUGAGAUACUGGGUUUUCCAUGUAAGAAUCAGGAAAAUAAUCAGGGACACCAGUUUCUAAAGAAGAAAAGGAGAUCUGCUAGUCAACUCAAAGGUCUCAUCCAAGACAGCUCUUUUGAAAGACUUCCCCCACUUUCCCCAAGACAACCCUUGGAGUUUGUGCUGAGGCUAAGCUAG
rnacentral:lncRNA from 1 species